ACCAUAUUCUUCCAUUUGCUUCCGGGCUCUUCCAUUUGGUCUCAUUUGCUUCCAAGAGAAUCUUUCGACCUCUCUCUUAGAACCACGAAACAUCCUCCUCUCUUCAACAGCAUCUCCUUCCUCCUCCAAUGGACAACAUCUCCCCUCCAGGCUCCUCCCUCAUUCCUUCUCCUCCGUUGGACAACAUCUCCUCCACUCUUUCUCUGGUUGAAAGAUUAGGUGGACAAGAAAGGGCAACUCCGAAGUUGGUUCUUCAAUUGAUGAAUUUUAAGGGUCUGGGUAUAACUCAUGUCAAGCGCCAUCUUCAAGUAAUUGAUUUGAUCCCAUC